rnacentral:ncRNA from 2 species
AGCAUCGAGGCCAACUCAGGUGUCGCAUCCACGGAUGCGGUGAAACGGGAAGUCGGUGCGCAUGCUGCGGUAUGCCAAGCCGACACUGCCCCCGCAACGGUAGGCCGCACGACGAUUUUUCGUCGUGGUCGCUGCUCGAGCCACUGACGCGAUGCGUCGGGAAGGCCAGCGCGCGGAUUUAGCGAUCCGUCGGCGAGUCCGGAGACCGGCCUGGGUCAGGGGAGGCCG